GUUGAACGCUGGCGGCAUGCUUUACACAUGCAAGUCGAACGGUAACAGGGUGCUUGCACCGCUGACGAGUGGCGAACGGGUGAGUAAUGCGUCGGAACGUGCCGAGUAGUGGGGGAUAACGCAGCGAAAGUUGUGCUAAUACCGCAUACGUACUGAGGUAGAAAGUGGGGGACCUUCGGGCCUCACGCCAUUCGAGCGGCCGACGUCUGAUUAGCUAGUAGGUGAGGUAAAGGCUCACCUAGGCGACGAGCAGUAGCGGGUCGGAGAGGAUGAUCCGCCACAAUGGAACUGAGACGCGGCCCAGACUCGUACGGAAGGCAGCAGUGGGAAAUUUUGGACAAUGGGCGUAAGCCUGAUCCAGCCACGCCGCGUGUCUGAAGCAGGCCCUCGGGUUGUAAAGGACUUUUGUCGGGGAGGAAAUCCCCAGCGUUAAUACCGCUGGGGGAUGACAGUACCUGAAGAAUAAGCACCGGCUAACUACGUGCCAGCCGCCGCGGUAAGAC
rnacentral:rRNA from 1 species